AGAGAGUGAGAGUCUCGUAUGCGAAAUCGAAAGUGGCGAGGGGGGUACCUGAGUAGGGCGGGACACGUGCAAUCCCGUUUGAAUCUGGGAGGACCAUCUUCCAAGGCUAAAUACUCCCUGGCGACCGAUAGUGGACCAGUACCGUGAGGGAAAGGUGAAAAGAACCCCAGUGAGGGGAGUGCAAGAGAACCUGAAACCGUAUGCCUACAAGCAGUGGGAGCACCUUUGGGUGUGACCGCGUGCCUUUUGCAUAAUGGGCCAGUGAGUUCAUCUGUAGUGCGAG
rnacentral:rRNA from 1 species